rnacentral:tRNA from 1 species
GGCCAUGGCUCAGUGGCAGAGCCUCUGUUCGGCAUGCAGAUGGCUCCAGGUUCGAUCCGGGCAUCUCCU